CAUUACCGAGUUAUACAACUCAUCAACCCUGUGAACAUACCUAUAACGUUGCCUCGGCGGGAACAGACGGCCCCGUAACACGGGCCGCCCCCGCCAGAGGACCCCCUAACUCUGUUUCUAUAAUGUUUCUUCUGAGUAAACAAGCAAAUAAAUUAAAACUUUCAACAACGGAUCUCUUGGCUCUGGCAUCGAUGAAGAACGCAGCGAAAUGCGAUAAGUAAUGUGAAUUGCAGAAUUCAGUGAAUCAUCGAAUCUUUGAACGCACAUUGCGCCCGCCAGUAUUCUGGCGGGCAUGCCUGUUCGAGCGUCAUUACAACCCUCAGGCCCCCGGGCCUGGCGUUGGGGAUCGGCGGAAGCCCCCUGCGGGCACAACGCCGUCCCCCAAAUACAGUGGCGGUCCCGCCGCAGCUUCCAUUGCGUAGUAGCUAACACCUCGCAACUGGAGAGCGGCGCGGCCACGCCGUAAAACACCCAACUUUCUGAAUGGUGACCUCGAAUCAGGUAGGAAUACCCGCUGAACUKAAGCAACGAGGGGGGGGGAAGAGAGGAA
rnacentral:rRNA from 1 species